rnacentral:rRNA from 1 species
AAUAUGACUCUCGGCAAUGGAUAUCUCGGCUCUUGCAUCGAUGAAGAGCGCAGCGAAAUGCGAUACGUGAUGCGAAUUGCAGAAUCCCGUGAACCAUCGAGUCUUUGAACGCAAGUUGCGCCCGAGGCCUAUCGGCCAAGGGCACGUUCGCCUGGGCGUCAAGC